rnacentral:rRNA from 1 species
GACGAGCGCUGGCGGCGUGCUUAACACAUGCAAGUCGAACGGAAAGGCCCUGCUUUUGUGGGGUGCUCGAGUGGCGAACGGGUGAGUAACACGUGAGUAACCUGCCCUUGACUUUGGGAUAACUUCAGGAAACUGGGGCUAAUACCGGAUAGGAGCUCCUGCUGCAUGGUGGGGGUUGGAAAGUUUCGGCGGUUGGGGAUGGACUCGCGGCUUAUCAGCUUGUUGGUGGGGUAGUGGCUUACCAAGGCUUUGACGGGUAGCCGGCCUGAGAGGGUGACCGGCCACAUUGGGACUGGGAUACGGCCCAGACUCCUACGGGAGGCAGCAGUGGGGAAUAUUGCACAAUGGGCGGAAGCCCGAUGCAGCAACGCCGCGUGCGGGAUGACGGCCUUCGGGUUGUAAACCGCUUUCGCCUGUGACGAAGCGUGAGUGACGGUAAUGGGUAAAGAAGCACCGGCUAACUACGUG